CAGCUGAUUUUUGACAGUUCAUUGCAUCGACUGCUCGACUGCUUCAGUUUUUUGAAACGACGAAAUAUCAAAUAUGAGCUCGCUGCCUAAACUGAAAGAAUUUGAAUGUGAUGUUUCUCCUCACGACAAAAGUGUUUGCACCUUAAAGCUGACGGUAGAGGGAUCGUCAACUGACGAAGACGGGAAAAAACGCAUCUCUAUAGAUAUGCAUGCAAGUGAAUUAUCAACCACUGUGCAUCUUUUGCAACAAGCCAGAGACCAAAUUGCAACAC